CUUAAAGGUAUAUCAGGCCUAUCAGAGUCUCUAGGAUUCUAGUCUUUAAGUCAUAAUGGCAGGUACUUAUACCAAGACAAUGAUGUGUUGUAAUUGGCUCUUGGAAAUGUCAUGCAACUGUGUCCAGGACAACCUUCAGGCUUUGCUUCAUGUGUAUAUCUUGCCUUCAAGGAAGGUCUUCCUUGGGAAAGAGUGCUUCUAGGCUGCAAGGGGGCAUCUACCCUCAGACCACUGUUCCAGGUACCAUGAUGUCAGGAGUUGGAGCGGCAGGCUUUGUCCCUCUCUCAAGUACAUUUUUGGCCAAGUCUCCAGUGGAAGGAGGAUUCUAUCAAGAGACAGCCCACAGAAUGGAAGAAAAUAUUUUCAAAUCAUAUAUCUGAUAAAGGACUCAUAUUUCAAAUACACAAGGAACUCUCACAACUCAAUAAAAAGACAAGUAACCCAAU
rnacentral:lncRNA from 1 species